GCAGUCGAGCGGCAGCGGGAAGUAGCUUGCUACUUUGCCGGCGAGCGGCGGACGGGUGAGUAAUGUCUGGGGAUCUGCCUGAUGGUGGGGGAUAACUACUGGAAACGGUGGCUAAUACCGCAUAACGUCGCAAGACCAAAGUGGGGGACCUUCGGGCCUCACGCCAUCGGAUGAACCCAGAUGGGAUUAGCUAGUAGGUGGGGUAAUGGCUCACCUAGGCGACGAUCCCUAGCUGGUCUGAGAGGAUGACCAGCCACACUGGAACUGAGACACGGUCCAGACUCCUACGGGAGGCAGCAGUGGGGAAUAUUGCACAAUGGGCGCAAGCCUGAUGCAGCCAUGCCGCGUGUGUGAAGAAGGCCUUCGGGUUGUAAAGCACUUUCAGCGAGGAGGAAGGUGUUCGUGUUAAUAGCACGGACAAUUGACGUUACUCGCAGAAGAAGCACCGGCUAACUCCGUGCCAGCAGCCGCGGUAAUACGGAGGGUGCGAGCGUUAAUCGGAAUUACUGGGCGUAAAGCGUACGCAGGCGGUUUGUUAAGUCAGAUGUGAAAUCCCCGAGCUUAACUCGGGAACUGCAUUUGAAACUGGCAAGCUAGAGUCUCGUAGAGGGGGGUAGAAUUCCAGGUGUAGCGGUGAAAUGCGUAGAGAUCUGGAGGAAUACCGGUGGCGAAGGCGGCCCCCUGGACGAAGACUGACGCUCAGGUACGAAAGCGUGGGGAGCAAACAGGAUUAGAUACCCUGGUAGUCCACGCUGUAAACGAUGUCGAUUUGAAGGUUGUGGCCUUGAGCCGUGGCUUUCGGAGCUAACGCGUUAAAUCGACCGCCUGGGGAGUACGGCCGCAAGGUUAAAACUCAAAUGAAUUGACGGGGGCCCGCACAAGCGGUGGAGCAUGUGGUUUAAUUCGAUGCAACGCGAAGAACCUUACCUACUCUUGACAUCCAGAGAAUUAGGCAGAGAUGCCUAAGUGCCUUCGGGAACUCUGAGACAGGUGCUGCAUGGCUGUCGUCAGCUCGUGUUGUGAAAUGUUGGGUUAAGUCCCGCAACGA
rnacentral:rRNA from 1 species